GCUUGCUGCUUCGCUGACGAGUGGCGGACGGGUGAGUAAUGUCUGGGAAACUGCCUGAUGGAGGGGGAUAACUACUGGAAACGGUAGCUAAUACCGCAUAACGUCGCAAGACCAAAGAGGGGGACCUUCGGGCCUCUUGCCAUCGGAUGUGCCCAGAUGGGAUUAGCUUGUUGGUGGGGUAACGGCUCACCAAGGCGACGAUCCCUAGCUGGUCUGAGAGGAUGACCAGCCACACUGGAACUGAGACACGGUCCAGACUCCUACGGGAGGCAGCAGUGGGGAAUAUUGCACAAUGGGCGCAAGCCUGAUGCAGCCAUGCCGCGUGUAUGAAGAAGGCCUUCGGGUUGUAAAGUACUUUCAGCGGGGAGGAAGGGAGUAAAGUUAAUACCUUUGCUCAUUGACGUUACCCGCAGAAGAAGCACCGGCUAACUCCGUGCCAGCAGCCGCGGUAAUACGGAGGGUGCAAGCGUUAAUCGGAAUUACUGGGCGUAAAGCGCACGCAGGCGGUUUGUUAAGUCAGAUGUGAAAUCCCCGGGCUCAACCUGGGAACUGCAUCUGAUACUGGCAAGCUUGAGUCUCGUAGAGGGGGGUAGAAUUCCAGGUGUAGCGGUGAAAUGCGUAGAGAUCUGGAGGAAUACCGGUGGCGAAGGCGGCCCCCUGGACGAAGACUGACGCUCAGGUGCGAAAGCGUGGGGAGCAAACAGGAUUAGAUACCCUGGUAGUCCACGCCGUAAACGAUGUCGACUUGGAGGUUGUGCCCUUGAGGCGUGGCUUCCGGAGCUAACGCGUUAAGUCGACCGCCUGGGGAGUACGGCCGCAAGGUUAAAACUCAAAUGAAUUGACGGGGGCCCGCACAAGCGGUGGAGCAUGUGGUUUAAUUCGAUGCAACGCGAAGAACCUUACCUGGUCUUGACAUCCACGGAAGUUUUCAGAGAUGAGAAUGUGCCUUCGGGAACCGUGAGACAGGUGCUGCAUGGCUGUCGUCAGCUCGUGUUGUGAAAUGUUGGGGUUAAGUCCCGCAACGAGCGCAACCCUUAUCCUUUGUUGCCAGCGGUCCGGCCGGGAACUCAAAGGAGACUGCCAGUGAUAAACU
rnacentral:rRNA from 1 species